CCGCCGAACGCCGCCCGAACAAGGAGAGGCACCAACUUCGGCGGAAGUCGUGACAACUAGUACAGACCUGGCUGCUGCAGGGGCAUGCUACCCACAAGCUGACCCCCAAACAGUGCAGAUAGGGAUCAUGGCCCCAAUUCUGACUGUAACCUAACGUAUGGAACCUCUGAUGGAAAAAACAGAGCUGUUCCCACGUGUCGGUCAGAGGAUGAGCCUCCCCAGCCACAGACCAGACCGGCAACACACCAACCAACCAGCCCCGCACGCACACGCAUGCACACACACACGAGCACACGCACAUGUGUGCAUACGCGCACACACACCAACCAGCCCUACAGUAUACCGCUUACUGCGCUUAUCUGACUGGACCACAUGUGGGCGCCAGCUAGGGCUAUCUCUCCGGCCAUCAUUAAAAAGCAUUUCAUCUGACAGGGGCUUGGCAAACUGUCGAAGGUUGGAACAUUGGUGGACUGACAGGGCCGAGGGGAUGAAAGAUUGUGCCGAGCGUUGCCAGGUUGUGCAUAUAGGAUAAGGGGUUCCCGUGGAGAGCGUUGCCAGGUGUGAAGUGAACUAGGCCUUUGUGUUGUUGAUGUUGGGCCCCUGGCUAAAGCUGGACAGCUGUUCUGGUCCUAUUAGUAGUGCUACUCUGGAUCUGGAGCUGGCCCUCAAUCCAGUCCAGCUGUGGGAGGGAGGGAGUCAUUGUCAUUGUGACCCUUGUAAAUCUUGUGUUUAGAACUGACUCUCUGGACAGGACAGGAAGUCAGUUAAGAGGCAUUGUUUGAAGAAGGCCUUUCUGAUCCAAGGUGUCAUUGCAUUUUCUCUCUAACAUCUUUCAACUGCGUAUUAUUGUGUACUAUGAUAUAGCUUUCUUAUGAAACUCUGACAUUGUUCAUCAAUUCUCUGUUCUCUCCCAUAUAAUUCAGUCUGUGGGCCUUGUCUCGCUGCUACCACAGAGCUGUGUAUGUGCAGUGAAGCUGCAGGUGGACACCUGAGGGUACACUAAUUGAGGGGCUGAGUCAUUACAUUUUUUGUCAUUUACAUUAACUCUCCCGUGUGUGUGUGUGUGUGUGUGUGUGUGUGUGUGUGUGUGUGUGUGUGUGUG
rnacentral:lncRNA from 1 species